rnacentral:rRNA from 2 species
GAACGACGCUGGCGGCGUGCUAAUACAUGCAAGUCGAGCGAACAAUAAGAAGCUUGCUUUUUGUUGGUUAGCGGCGGACGGGUGAGUAACACGUGGGUAACCUGCCUGUAAGACCGGGAUAACUCCGGGAAACCGGUGCUAAUACCGGAUAGAUUAUCUUUCCGCCUGGAGAGAUAAGGAAAGAUGGCUUUUGCCAUCACUUACAGAUGGGCCCGCGGCGCAUUAGCUAGUUGGUGAGGUAACGGCUCACCAAGGCGACGAUGCGUAGCCGACCUGAGAGGGUGAUCGGCCACACUGGGACUGAGACACGGCCCAGACUCCUACGGGAGGCAGCAGUAGGGAAUCUUCCGCAAUGGACGAAAGUCUGACGGAGCAACGCCGCGUGAGUGAAGAAGGUCUUCGGAUCGUAAAGCUCUGUUGUUAGGGAAGAACAAGUAUCGGAGGAAAUGCCGGUACCUUGACGGUACCUGACGAGAAAGCCACGGCUAACUACGUGCCAGCAGCCGCGGUAAUACGUAGGUGGCAAGCGUUGUCCGGAAUUAUUGGGCGUAAAGCGCGCGCAGGCGGUCCUUUAAGUCUGAUGUGAAAUCUUGCGGCUCAACCGCAAGCGGUCAUUGGAAACUGGGGGACUUGAGUGCAGAAGAGGAAAGCGGAAUUCCACGUGUAGCGGUGAAAUGCGUAGAGAUGUGGAGGAACACCAGUGGCGAAGGCGGCUUUC